GGAUUAAGAGCUUGCUCUUAUGAAGUUAGCGGCGGACGGGUGAGUAACAGCGUGGGUAACCUGCCCAUAAGACUGGGAUAACUCCGGGAAACCGGGGCUAAUACCGGAUAACAUUUUGAACCGCAUGGUUCGAAAUUGAAAGGCGGCUUCGGCUGUCACUUAUGGAUGGACCCGCGUCGUAUUAGCUAGUUGGUGAGGUAACGGCUCACCAAGGCAACGAUGCGUAGCCGACCUGAGAGGGUGAUCGGCCACACUGGGACUGAGACACGGCCCAGACUCCUACGGGAGGCAGCAGUAGGGAAUCUUCCGCAAUGGACGAAAGUCUGACGGAGCAACGCCGCGUGAGUGAUGAAGGCUUUCGGGUCGUAAAACUCUGUUGUUAGGGAAGAACAAGUGCUAGUUGAAUAAGCUGGCACCUUG
rnacentral:rRNA from 1 species